UAGAGAUGUGUGAUGACGCAUAUCAAUAGCGGAGGAAAAGAAACUAACAAGGAUUCCCUUAGUAACGGCGAGUGAAGCGGGAAGAGCUCAAAUUUGAAAUCUUCAAGGUUCUACCUUGACGAAUUGUAGUUUAUAGAAGUGUUUUCUGUUAGUAGAGUGGCAAAAGUUCUUUGGAAUAGGACAUCAUAGAGGGUGAGAAUCCCGUAUUUGGUCAUUCUUUCUAGCUUUGUGAUACACUUUCAACGAGUCGGAUUGUUUGGGAAUGCAGUCCAAAAUGGGUGGUAAAUUUCAUCUAAAGCUAAAUAUUGGCGAGAGACCGAUAGCGAACAAGUACCGUGAGGGAAAGAUGAAAAGAACUUUGAAAAGAGAGUUAAACAGUACGUGAAAUUGUCAAAAGGGAAGCGUUUGACACCAGUGUUGUUUUUCCGAAAAUCAAUUACGAAUGUUUUGUUUUUGAGAAGUUAUGACUUCAUCGGCUUGCUUCUCUCUUUACGAAACUUUCUUAAUGCACUUUUCGGUUAACAAGUCAACAUCAAUUUCUUUUGUUGUAAAAGGGUAUGAGGAAGGUGGCUUUCUUUUCGGAGAAAGUGUUUAUAGCCUUGUACCUCUGCAAUCGGAGAGAUUGAGGUCUGCAGCGUAGAUCCUUCGGGGUUAGAUACAUUUGUGCUAAGUUAUAGCUUUUCAUAGACAACUUGUUGACUAUGUUAAGUCUUGUAGCUUACUCGCUUAUGCUAUUUUACCUACGCUUAGGAUGUUGAUCUGUAGUGCGUGCGC
rnacentral:rRNA from 1 species